ensembl:lncRNA
GAAGUUCAUCGUUGAUUUCCUUUGGGAUUGAAGUUAGCUUUCUUACUGUACAUAGUUUGGGGCCCGGGUUGGUGAAGGCCUCAGGCUGACUCCAGUUGCAGGAUGACAGAUACCAAAUUAGAGCCCAUGUGCUUGGGGGUGUCAGAGCCGCUCCUCUCCGGGACUUGUGGGGGCCUGGUGUCUGACCUGAGAGGCAGUGGACUGGGUAACAGUGUUCUAGGUCCUGAGUGGUUUGUUUCUUUAAAACUUAGCUGUACCCUUGCAAUGCUUCUGACUACUUAGUCCCCCUUCAGGGUAGGGUCUGACUUUCCCCUUUCACUCCAAGGACCGUGCGCUCUGCUGUCCACCCCUGCCGCCAGCGUGGAAGGGCAGCAGGCCAUGGGGUUGGUCCAUCAGGAGGUGCUGUGGCUUUCUCCCCUCUUCCCUGCUGCUUUACUGUGAGCUGGAAGCAGCCUGUGCUCCUGAGAGGAUGGUGGGGCAUUCAGGGAGGGGCAGAAAGAAGCACUUCCUUGGGCCCGGGAUUUAGCUCAGUGGCACCGCGCCUGCCUCAUAAAUACAAGGUUGUGAGUUCAAUCCCCGGUACCAAGAAAAAAAAAAAAAAAAGCAUUUCUGUGCCUCUGCCUGUAAUCCCACCAUUCUGGGCUGCUGAAGCAGAAGGAUCACAAGUUUGAGCCCAUCCUAGGCAAUUUAGCAACUUAUCCCCAGAACUGCAAAAUAAAUAAAGGAAAAGCUAGAUAGAUCAUGCUGGGCAUGGAGGCUCAUACCUAUUGUUCCAGAGGCUGAGGCAGAAGGAUCACAAAUUUGAACCCAGGCUGAACAACUUAGUGACUUAGCAAGAUCCUCUGUCAAACUACAAAAAUUAAAGAGGCAUGGGAAUGCAGCUCCAUGUGAAGGCCGAGUUCAGUCCCAGUACUGAAGAAAAAAACUAGAUUCCACCAAGAGUGGAAACAUUUGUGACAAAUACGAAAGCAUGUACCAUAGUGGGCACACGGAAGGAGAAACAAGACGCAUGUGCAGUCCUGGCUGAAAAUGUACGGCCUGUGCACUGGUCACCGCCUUGUAAAGCAGCCUGCUGGGCUCAUUUUUGUGGUAAGAUUUGUAAGAAAUACCAUCAAGCUCCUGCCAGGUGUGGUGGCGGACGCCUGGAGUCCCAGCAACUCAGGAGGCUGAGGCAGGAAGAUCACUGUAAAUUCCAGGCCAGCCUGAACUACAUGGUGAGUUCAAGGCCAGCCCGACUGACCUCCACCCCAAAUAACUCAUAAAUAAAAUCAUCCAUCUCCGUAAAAUGUUCGUGGUACCUGUCUCGCCCCCGCAGCUCGCUUCUGAGAAGCCAUCCUUGAAAGUAAUUCCGAAGGGCUGGGCCGACACUCUCCCGGGACACUCUCCCGGCUGCCCUGGCGGCGGGGUUGAGCCUCUGCACCCGCCGCGCGGGGUGCGUUUCUUCCGCAGCGUCUGCAGAGCAUGCGGGGUCCUGGACAAGACUCCCAAGAGCGUCUUCGGGGAGCCAGCGACCCUGAUAGGGACCAGACAACCAUCCCACCACCACGGUGAGCCAUUCUGCACACUGACGAUGUCCGCACGGAAUCUGUGCUGAUCCCGACAGAGAAAUCUGUGAAAGAUUGGAAAUGACAAGAGGAGAGGCUGGAUCACAGACCCACGUGCUCUGCCUUGCAGCCCGUAGGGGUUCCCCACGUCAACCUCAAUUACCGCGGGUGGCUGACACGGACUCUGCCUUGCAGAUGGGCCCCGAUCGAGACCUGACGCCAGGGCAGGGCCUGCACAGGAUGCGACUGUCUGGCUCCUCCCGCCUUGGAGAAUUCUGAAAACAGAGGUGGGUGUUGGUUGAAUUGCAAGCUGAGAGGCAUAGUUAUCAAAAAUGGGGUAUAUAUUUGAAACUAUUAAGCUGGGGAUGUAGCUCAGUGGUGCCCGCGCCUGCCCCACAAGUGCAAGGAUCCCGAGUUCGAGCCCUGGUACCCCCCCAAAACAAAAAAAGCCUUUAUGGGCCGGGGAUUUAGCUCAGUCUGGAAAGCGCAAAGGUCCCGAGUUUGUUCGCGGUACCCCCCCAAAAAAAAAAAAGAAAGAAAAACUUACAGGGCCAGGGAUGGAGCUCAGCUCAGUGCAAGAUCCUAGGUUCAAUUCCUGGUACCAGAAAAGGAGAAGAAAAUUGUAAUCAGCGUGCCUUUAGAAAAGGGAUUUUAAGAAUUGUUUCAAUUUUUAAGCCUGGAACUUAAGUGUACACUGCACCUAGACGUUUAUUUCUCACCCCCAAAUUGCUCUUAUCUAUGUCUGUUGCCGACUUUUAUUUUCUACAGUCUUAAUAUGUUUGUGGGGAAGUGUCUCAAAAAUUAUGAUGGAAAGUACAGCCAAAUCAAAAUUGGUAAUUAUGAGCAUGUAUAAUAGUACUUUGAGCAUAUUAUAUCUAUAAUAUAUGUAUUUAAUGUAUCCCAGCAUUUUAAUGUAUU